GGUGGCCCUGGAGACAUACAAGAUCGAUGAGGAACCGCGUGCUGCACUCUAUGUUGUCAUGUUGAAUGGAAGCAACAACGGCACCGAGGAAACAUGAGUUUAUCGUUCAAAAGAGGUCUCUGAAAUUUUAGAGGGUUGUGGUAUAUGAAUCAUUGCUGGAUGAGGAAAGGAGUGGGGGAGGAUCUGCAGUUUCAUGCAGCAUUGUACGAUGGAUUUAU